GAAAGCUUUCCAAGCUAUUGUGGAAAAGGGACAAGAGAAUCAAUCAGGAAAACAAAGUUUGGGAAUGGCAUUUAGAUCUGGAUCUUAGUUCUUUGUGUUUAUGAGAACUAUAUGCAUGUGAGAGUCAUGUGAAGAACUUGCUGAGACUUUGGAAGCAUCAGCCUGUAGUCAAAACAGUGGAUCAAUGUUUAGAAGAAGACACCUGAGCAUUAGCCUGGUGUGAGAGGUCCCAGAUGAAUCUCAUGUGCAGCCAAGUUUGGGGAAGCAUCUCCAGGAGACAGGGUACAAAUGCUUGGAGCAAGAGAAGUGAAGACGGGUGAGACCAGGAUCAGCAUGGCAUAACAUAAAACAGAAGACCUCCAAGAGCCAUGAGGGAAACUCCAAGAAAGUCUUUUUCACACAUUUAAGAAGGAGCUGUUUAUUCUACCCACUCUUGGCUCAGUCCAGAAGGAGCCUGGCUGCAUUUGAGGAAUUAUCCACAUCAGAAUCUCAAAACAUGAACAGCCGUUUCAGGAAAGAAGGAUUUGGACAAGUCCUUAUACUGAGACUGACUCCAGGAUACUCAUCCAGAAUCCCUUGUUCACCUACCUGACGCAGAGAACACAAAGGACAGAAGUCAACAGCUCUGAAAACUAUGACUCUUCCGUUACCCUCUCUAUCUCAGCCACCUCCAUCCAGUUGAGAAGUCUCCCUUGUUGAUCUGUUGGUGAAGUGCUUGAUGGAGAUAAGACACAUGGCCCAGCAUGAUAAGACACAUGCAUUUUGUGUUCCCGUUCUAGGCUGUAGAGUAGCUCAUGAGACAUACAUACUUCUCAUUAGUUCCCUCAGCAAGAGAUUUAGAACAUUUUGAUCUUAUGUAUUCAGAAAUACAGGAAUGGAGAGAGAAGAAAAUGAGUACUUAGAGAUCCUAGGAUGAAGAGAUAUGAAAGUUUUCCAAGCUACUGAGAUAGAAAGAGUAAAUGAACAAAAUAAGAAAUAGAAAAAUGAAUUUUGAGAAUUAUAAUUGGACAUAGGCCUAGGUCUUUACUAUUCUGCAAUAUCAGAAAGGCAUUAGACUUAACUGGAAAUUUGUUUAUUUUUUUCUUUUUAUUGCUUUUUAAUAUGCAUUAUAGUUAUACAUGAUAUUGGGGUUCAUUUUGACAUAAACAUAUCAAAAUGCAUUCUACUGUAAUGUAUAACUAAUUAGAACAAAUUUUUUAAAAUCUGCACUUAAAUAAUGUGCUAUAGUUACAUUCCUCACCCUAAUCUAUCCUGCCUUUCAUAGAGAGAAUAAGGCUAUGAUUUAGAAACAAUCUUCAAGUUGAAAAUGUUCCAUGAAAAUACAGUGGACAUGACAUUUGAGAGAAAAUUUAAAUAAAUCCUACCUGGAAAUCAUCAUUAAUCCUUUUAUUCCAUACAUUGGCCUUUUCUGUUUACAUAUAUUCAUAAGCAGAAAGCAAAAGCAAAAAAAGACCAUCAUAAUUUUCAACAGGUCACAUGUGUCUUACAUUAUGCAUACUUUUUUUAUUUUUAAAUUUAUUUUUAAUAGAUACAUAAAAUAUCAAAAUUAUAUACGUAUAUAUAAAUGGGGUAGUAUGAUGUUUUGAUACGUGCAUAUAAAACAUUUCCCAGUUUCUUAUGGUGCAAAAUUAGGAAUCAUUCUUGCUUUGUGAAAUACAUAGUAUGCGGGUGCUAUUUUUAUCACCCUAUUCAGGAACAGAACAACAGACCUUCUUAUUCCUUUCUAAUCGUAACUUAGUACCUAUUGAUCAAUCUCUGCAUCCCUGCUUUAUCCCUAUAGAUUACUACUAUUUUAAGUAAAACAUGAUAAUGAGAUAUAUAUAUAUAUAUAUAUAUCACUGCAUUCUACUAUAUAUAUAUAUAUACACUAAGAGUAAAGUGCAACAUGUGUAUAGACAGAGAUAAAAUGUGUAAUGAUUAGAUCAGGAUAAUUAGCAUAUCUAUCACUUCAGAAUUUUAUCACUUAUUUGUGUUGGGACAUUCAAAAUUCUCUCUACUAGCUCUUUUGAAAUAUUUGAUUAAUUACUGUCAGUCAUAGCCAUCCUGCUGUGCUAUAUAACAUUAGAAGUUUUUCCUACUCUACAACUGCUCCCCUGUACCACUUAGGUAUCUUCUCUCCAGUCUCCCCACCCAUCUGCCCUCGCCCACACCCGUACACUUCCAAGGCACUAGUAACCACUAUUCUGUUCUGUUACUUUGGGAUCCACUUUGGCCUGGUUUGUAGGAAUGGGUCCAGUAAGAUGUGUGGGGAAGUGCUUGUCUGCUUCAUGGAAACCUAAGAGGAUGUUUUACAGUGGGCUACUCCAGCAGCAAGUGCUUUGGAUGUCUAUUGUCUGAAUGCUGAUUCCCAGGGACCUCCUACUUAUGCUUUCCUUACAAGGUCCCUCUUGUUUCAUAGUUGAUCUCGCCUUGCUUUGUGCUUGAUUUCCUCUUUAUAAGGCCAUCGUGUAUCUUCUUGCUCUGCGAAAUCUCUGCCACUUCCUCACUGCACUCCUGUGUUCUGCCUCAAACACUCCAGUGAAAUUGCUGCUGUUCUUUGGUGUGGUCAUCUUGUUGUAGAGAGAAGCAUUCCAGGCAUCUCUAACCAGCUAGCAUCACCAGAAUAAUAUCAUCCACAUAUUAUUAAAGCUCUUUUUCUAUGAUUUAAAUCCAAUCCAGACUUGUGUUAGAGUGAUCAUCAUCUAAAAGGUAGAUAAUAACCAAUGUUGGUGAGAAUGUGGAGGGAACUGGAACCCUCGUAUGACCCUACUAGGAAGGUAAGGUGGUUCAGCUGCUGUGAUGGCUAAUUCUGGUGUUCAACUUGACUGAAUUGAGGGAUUCCUAGCCAGGUGGUAAAGCAUACUUCUAGGUGUGUUUGUGAGAGGUUUCAGGGAAGACUGACUUGUCAGUCAGUGAAAUGAGUGAGAAAUACCCAUCCUGAAUGUGGACAGCCCACCUGAUAGGCUAGGGUCCCUGAUGGAAUGCAAAACUAGAAAAAGGGGGAUGCUAAAUCUCAAUUGCAUUCUUUAUUUCUGUGGAGGUACAUUUUUUUGCUGCUGUUACCCAUAAAUAUCAGAUUAAAAGUUGUUCAGCUUUUGAAUGCAAACUCUGGCAUGUAAUGCAGACUAAAUUGGUUAACAAAAAUAAUAAAAUGUUCAGUUUUCUA